rnacentral:rRNA from 1 species
AGUGAACGCUGGCGGUAGGCCUAACACAUGCAAGUCGAACGGCAGCACAGUAAGAGCUUGCUCUUACGGGUGGCGAGUGGCGGACGGGUGAGGAAUACAUCGGAAUCUACUUUUUCGUGGGGGAUAACGUAGGGAAACUUACGCUAAUACCGCAUACGACCUACGGGUGAAAGCAGGGGAUCUUCGGACCUUGCGCGAUUGAAUGAGCCGAUGUCGGAUUAGCUAGUUGGCGGGGUAAAGGCCCACCAAGGCGACGAUCCGUAGCUGGUCUGAGAGGAUGAUCAGCCACACUGGAACUGAGACACGGUCCAGACUCCUACGGGAGGCAGCAGUGGGGAAUAUUGGAGAAUGGGCGCAAGCCUGAUCCAGCCAUACCGCGUGGGUGAAGAAGGCCUUCGGGUUGUAAAGCCCUUUUGUUGGGAAAGAAAAGCAGCAGGUUAAUACCCCGCUGUUCUGACGGUACCAAAAGAAUAAGCACCGGCUAACUUCGUG